CGGGAGCGAAGCAAUUGGAAGUGGUUCCAAGAAAAGCCUCUAAGCUUCAGUCUAACGAUGACCGUACCGCAAACCGACACAGGUGGGCGAGAUGAGUAUUCUAAGGCGCUUGAGAGAACUCGGGAGAAGGAACUCGGCAAAUUGGUACCGUAACUUCGGGAUAAGGUACGCCCUUGUAGCUUGACUGGCCUGCGCCAGGAGGGUGAAGGGGUUGCAAUAAACUGGUGGCUGCGACUGUUUAAUAAAAACACAGCACUCUGCAAACACGAAAGUGGACGUAUAGGGUGUGACGCCUGCCCGGUGCCGGAAGAUUAAAUGAUGGGGUGCAAGCUCUUGAUUGAAGUCCCGGUAAACGGCGGCCGUAACUAUAACGGUCCUAAGGUAGCGAAAUUCCUUGUCGGGUAAGUUCCGACCUGCACGAAUGGCGUAACGAUGGCCACACUGUCUCCUCCCGAGACUCAGCGAAGUUGAAGUGUUUGUGAUGAUGCAAUCUACCCGCGGCUAGACGGAAAGACCCCAUGAACCUUUACUGUAGCUUUGCAUUGGACUUUGAACCGAUCUGUGUAGGAUAGGUGGGAGGCUAUGAAACCGGAACGCUAGUUUCGGUGGAGCCGUCCUUGAAAUACCACCCUGGUUUGUUUGAGGUUCUAACCUUGGCCCGUGAUCCGGGUCGGGGACAGUGCAUGGUAGGCAGUUUGACUGGGGCGGUCUCCUCCCAAAGCGUAACGGAGGAGUACGAAGGUACGCUAGGUACGGUCGGAAAUCGUGCUGAUAGUGCAAUGGCAUAAGCGUGCUUAACUGCGAGACCGACAAGUCGAGCAGGUGCGAAAGCAGGUCAUAGUGAUCCGGUGGUUCUGUAUGGAAGGGCCAUCGCUCAACGGAUAAAAGGUACUCUGGGGAUAACAGGCUGAUACCGCCCAAGAGUUCAUAUCGACGGCGGUGUUUGGCACCUCGAUGUCGGCUCAUCUCAUCCUGGGGCUGUAGCCGGUCCCAAGGGUAUGGCUGUUCGCCAUUUAAAGAGGUACGUGAGCUGGGUUUAAAACGUCGUGAGACAGUUUGGUCCCUAUCUGCCGUGGGCGUUGGAUAUUUGAAGGGGGCUGCUCCUAGUACGAGAGGACCGGAGUGGACGAACCUCUGGUGUACCGGUUGUCACGCCAGUGGCAUCGCCGGGUAGCUAUGUUCGGAAGAGAUAACCGCUGAAAGCAUCUAAGCGGGAAACUCGCCUUAAGAUGAGAUAUCCCUGGGGACUAGAUCCCCUUGAAGGGUCGUUCGAGACCAGGACGUUGAUAGGUCAGGUGUGUAAGCGCAGUAAUGCGUUCAGCUAACUGAUACUAAUUGCCCGUAAGGCUUGAUCCUAUAACAAGUCUG
rnacentral:rRNA from 1 species